UACAGAGGUCUCAAGCGUUGUUCGGAUUCAUUGGGCGUAAAGGGUGUGUAGGUGGCGCGCUAAGUCGGGUGUGAAAUUUCGGAGCUUAACUCCGAAACUGCAUUCGAUACUGCCGUGCUUGAGGACUGGAGAGGAGACUGGAAUUUACGGUGUAGCAGUGAAAUGCGUAGAUAUCGUAAGGAAGACCAGUGGCGAAGGCGGGUCUCUGGACAGUUCCUGACACUGAGGCACGAAGGCCAGGGGAGCAAACGGG
rnacentral:rRNA from 1 species